rnacentral:tRNA from 1 species
GGUGGGAUGGCUGAGUGGCCGAAAGCACCGGUUUUGAAAACCGGAUAGCGGGGAAGAACGCCCGACCUCUGACGAGGUCGAGAAUCCCGACACGCCGCCA